UCCAGAUUUAUACAGUUUUUUUUUUUUUUCAUCUUUCUCUUCUUUUGUAAAUUAAUUUCUCACUUCUCUUCUUCAACCUGAAAGCAUCUUUGUUUGUCUCUGAUUUGUUAGUUUUAUGCAGGUUCCGUUCAUUCAAUUUUAUGUUCAGAUCCAAUUUCAAUCAAACCUACUUCUAUGGAUUCGAUUUCUCCAUGCUUAGGUUCAGGUCGAUAAAGGUUUAUUCAAGGAAGACAAAUGACACAAAAUCUAGUGCUACACCAUUGGCUGGAGCUAUAUGGUAUAUAAUGAGAAGAAAAUAGGCGAUGGAAGGAAAUGGCAGCUGAAAUGAUGAGCCAGUUAUGGAGAAAAGUGGCAGAGUUAAUGAGAAGAAAUCAUGACGAAUCAAACUUGUAGCCAUUUUUAUGGUUCAUGCUAGAUGCUCACUGUAGGAAAUUUCAAGGAAAUAUACAUGCUCUAACUCUUGCUCAAUGUAAAGAUUUGAAGGCACCCUGGCUUGGAUUUGGUUAAAAAGGAAUUAUCCAGGAAAAAAAUCAGCAGCACCCAAGGGGAUCUAGUGAUUGAAAAACAGAGUAUUAUUAGAAGAGGUUAGACAUGCUUUAAUAAUACACUUGUUUUGUUUUUGGUAUUGUUGAUCUUACAUAUAGCAUAUUGCUUUAUUUUCAUUUUUCACUCUCCUUAAAUUAUUUAAUAUGUAAAUGAAUUUAAGUAUAAAUUAUCAGAACUAGUUUUUUAUUAGAACUUAGUAGUAAUUACCUCUAUAAGGAAGAGUAAUGUCAUGCCAACUUAUGAUAAUUGAAUAGUAGUAUAACAAUAUGAAAUGUUGCCCCUAUUUAUAAA